ACGCUCGACACCUAUGGGAGGCAGCAGUGGGGAAUAUUGCACAAUGGGGGAAACCCUGAUGCAGCAACGCCGCGUGAAGGAAGACGGUUUUCGGAUUGUAAACUUCUGUUCUUAGUGAAGAUAGUGACGGUAGCUAAGGAGCAAGCCACGGCUAACUACGUGGCAGCAGCCGCGGUAAUCUGAGCGGGCUGGCAAGGC
rnacentral:rRNA from 1 species